rnacentral:lncRNA from 1 species
AGAAAAUUGGAGAACAAAAAGAGGAGAGAGCGAAGAGUUGAUUGCAUAUCUUAGAGAGUUCUGGAGCCUUUAAUUUAUAAUAGAGGAGUUUGAGAUGUAUCCAUCUGAGUCCUGACGGUUUCUGGAUUUAUCGUAUAGAUAGAUUCGGAGGAGAACUUUUUUUUUAUGAGAGAUUUAAUUACAGAGGAAUCCUACCUUAUCUGGACC